AUGUAGGAUAAUGUGUCUUUAAGCAGGAGUAAGUUGCUCUAACUAACAAAUCCUAAAUAGUUUCCCCUUAGAGUUAGGUAUUUCAU
rnacentral:pre_miRNA from 1 species